GAUGAACGCUGGCGGCGUGCCUAAUACAUGCAAGUCGAGCGAAUGGAUUAAGAGCUUGCUCUUAUGAAGUUAGCGGCGGACGGGUGAGUAACACGUGGGUAACCUGCCCAUAAGACUGGGAUAACUCCGGGAAACCGGGGCUAAUACCGGAUAACAUUUUGAACCGCCUGGUUCGAAAUUGAAAGGUGGCUUCGGCUGUCACUUAUGGAUGGACCCGCGUCGCAUUAGCUAGUUGGUGAGGUAACGGCUCACCAAGGCAACGAUGCGUAGCCGACCUGAGAGGGUGAUCGGCCACACUGGGACUGAGACACGGCCCAGACUCCUACGGGAGGCAGCAGUAGGGAAUCUUCCGCAAUGGACGAAAGUCUGACGGAGCAACGCCGCGUGAGUGAUGAAGGCUUUCGGGUCGUAAAACUCUGUUGUUAGGGAAGAACAAGUGCUAGUUGAAUGAGCUGGCACCUUGACGGUACCUAACCAGAAAGCCACGGCUAACUACGUGCCAGCAGCCGCCGUAA
rnacentral:rRNA from 1 species